rnacentral:pre_miRNA from 1 species
GGGUUGAGAGCUCUUUUGGGGGAUGUUGUUGACAGAAGAUAGAGAGCACAGAUGAUGGGAUACAAUUGAUAGUAUACAUAUCUCACUUCCUUUGUGCUCUCUAUGCUUCUGUCAUCAUCUUUUCGAGCGGCCUCCUCGAUCC